rnacentral:rRNA from 1 species
UACGGAGGGUGCAAGCGUUAUCCGGAUUCACUGGGUUUAAAGGGUGCGUAGGUGGGCAGGUAAGUCAGUGGUGAAAUCUCCGGGCUUAACCCGGAAACUGCCGUUGAUACUAUUUGUCUUGAAUAUUGUGGAGGUAAGCGGAAUAUGUCAUGUAGCGGUGAAAUGCAUAGAUAUGACAUAGAACACCAAUUGCGAAGGCAGCUGGCUACACAAAUAUUGACGCUGAUGCACGAAAGCGUGGGGAUCAAACAGG